rnacentral:rRNA from 1 species
CGCGUAGGCGGUUUACUCGGUCGGAUGUGAAAGCCCCGGGCUCAACCUGGGAAUUGCAUUCGAUACUGGUAGGCUAGAGUAUGGUAGAGGGAAGUGGAAUUCCAGGUGUAGCGGUGAAAUGCGUAGAUAUCUGGAGGAACAUCAGUGGCGAAGGCGACUUCCUGGACCAAUACUGACGCUGAGGUGCGAAAGCGUGGGGAGCGAACA